rnacentral:misc_RNA from 1 species
GAAGAGGAGGGAAGCUGAGUUUGUUGCGGAGGGUUCGGUCUGUUGCACGUGAAGAUUGAGGAGAUAUUGGGCCGUUUGGGACCGAGCCAGAAGGAGAGUUUGUUGAGGAGGAUCGCGCAGAAAAAGGGGGGCCGUUGUGGAUAUUCGGUAUACUGCCAGCCCCCUCCUUCCUAUAUAUACAGACAGAGGCAGAGAGCAAGGGGUAGUCUCGGUGGUGGGCUGCGGAGGAACAAUCAUCGAACAGAGGAGGAGGUUCAGGGUGGUGACAGCACUCAGAAACUUCUGCUUCUGAUUCAUAAGCCAGCGGAAAGUGGGUAUUUAUGUGGUAAUUUGUAAGGUUUGUAUUCAGUGAGAAGUGGAUGAUUAUUGUGUUGGAGAUUUGAUAAGAAUUUG